CUCCUCCUACGGGAGGCAGCAGUGAGGAAUAUUGGUCAAUGGGCGGUAGCCUGAACCAGCCACGUAGCGUGAAGGAUGAAGGUUCUACGGGUUGUAAACUUCUUUUAUAAAGGAAUAAAGUGAGGCACGUGUGCCUUUUUGUAUGUACUUUAUGAAUAAGGAUCGGCUAACUCCGUGCCAGCAGCCGCGGUAAUACGGAGGAUCCGAGCGUUAUCCGGAUUUAUUGGGUUUAAAGGGAGCGUAGAUGGGUUGUUAAGUCAGUUGUGAAAGUUUGCGGCUCAACCGUAAAAUUGCAAUUGAUACUG
rnacentral:rRNA from 1 species